UACGGAGGGUGCAAGCGUUAUCCGGAUUCACUGGGUUUAAAGGGUGCGUAGGCGGGGAUAUAAGUCAGUGGUGAAAGCUCCGAGCUUAACUUGGAAACUGCCAUUGAUACUGUAUAUCUUGAAUGUCGUAGAGGUUAGCGGAAUGUUGCAUGUAGCGGUGAAAUGCUUAGAUAUGUUACAGAACACCAAUUGCGAAGGCAGCUAACUAUGCGAUGAUUGACGCUGAGGCACGAAAGCGUGGGGAGCAAACAGG
rnacentral:rRNA from 1 species